AGAGAUCGAUAAUGGCCGACAGAAGAUGCAGGUUACACAAAACGCGAAAACGGAAACGUAUUUCCGUGCAUGUCCUGAUAGCUUGCAACAACUUGCCAGACGCUUCAUAAUGGACUCCAAAACACAGUUGAGUGAAUACACCAUAGUUCAACCUCGGACAGCAAUGAACGUGGGAAAGAAAAG